UGCCAGCAGCCGCGGUAAUACGGAGGGUGCAAGCGUUGUUCGGGAUCAUUGGGCGUAAAGCGCGUGUAGGCGGUCGUGUAAGUCGGGUGUGAAAUCCCAGGGCUCAACCCUGGAACUGCACUCGAUACUGCAUGACUAGAGUCUCGGAGAGGAUGGCGGAAUUCCCGGUGUAGAGGUGAAAUUCGUAGAUAUCGGGAGGAACACCAGUGGCGAAGGCGGCCAUCUGGACGAUGACUGACGCUGAGACGCGAAAGCGUGGGGAGCAAACAGGAUUAGAUAC
rnacentral:rRNA from 1 species